UCAAGCGCAAAAGGGCUUGCGGUGGAUUCCUUGGCGUCAAUGGGCGAUGAAGGGCGUAGCAAGCUGCGAUAAGCUUCGGGGAGCCGCUAACAGGCGUUGAUCCGGAGAUUCCCGAAUGGGGCAACCCUGCACAGGUCAUACUGUGUAAUCUCUGACUGAAUACAUAGGUCUUAGAAGCCAACCGGGGGAAUUGAAACAUCUUAGUACCCCGAGGAACAGAAAGCAAAAGCGAUUCCCCUAGUAGUGGCGAACGAACGGGGAACAGCCUAAACCAAGCGUUACGUUAAAACCCGUGGGUGUUGUACGUUUGGGGUUGUGGGUCUCAAUUGGGCGGAACUACGGAGCCGCCGGAAUGUUACAAAAACAUGUUUUAGCUUAACAGGCUGGAAAGCCUGGCCAUAGAGGGUGAUAGCCCCGUUAGCGAAAAGAUAUGUUCAUUCUGGGUUGAGUACCCAAGUACUGCGGGACACGAGAAAUCUUGUAGGAAUCUGGGAGGACCACCUCUCAAGGCUAAAUACCAUUGACGACCGAUAGUGAACUAGUACCGUGAGGGAAAGGUGAAAAGCACCCCGGUGAGGGGAGUGAAAUAGUAUAUGAAACCGUAAGCCUACAAGCAGUGGGAGCACUAUACUCUAACUUCGGUAAGAGCAUGUGUGACCGCGUACCUUUUGCAUAAUGAGCCGCCGAGUUACUUUACUUAGCAAGGUUAAGCCGUUAGGUGUAGCCGUAGCGAAAGCGAGUCUGAAUAGGGCGAAUAGUUAGGUGGAGUAGACCCGAAGCCGGGUGAUCUAUCCAUGGCCAGGGUGAAGCGCAGGUAACACUGCGUGGAGGCCCGAACCAGUAGACGUUGAAAAGUCUUUGGAUGAGCUGUGGAUAGGGGUGAAAGGCUAAUCAAACCCGGCAAUAGCUGGUUCUCCCCGAAAUAGUUUUAGGACUAGCCUUGUGUAAUAGUAAACGGAGGUAGGGCGCUGGAUGGACUAGGGGCCUCACCAGGUUACCAAACCCAACCAAUCUUCGAAUUCCGUUUACCGUAUCACAGGAGUCAGACUGCGGGUGAUAAGGUCCGUAGUCGAGAGGGAAAGAGCCCAGACCACCAGCUAAGGUCCCUAAGAUAAACUAAGUGGGAAAGGUUGUAGGAAUACACAGACAAUCAGGAGGUUGGCUUAGAAGCAGCAAUCCUUUAAAGAAAGCGUAAUAGCUCACUGAUCAAGUGUACCUGCGCCGAAAAUUUAACGGGGCUUAAGUUUAGCACCGAAGCUGUGGAUUGGAGAUAACUUCGGUUAUCUCUUCUGGUAGGGGAGCGUUCCAUACUGGGCUGAAGCUCGACCGUAAGGACGGGUGGACUGUAUGGAAGUGAGUAUGGCGGCAUGAGUAACGAUAAAACAGGUGAGAAACCUGUUCGCCGAAAAUCCAAGGGUUCCUGAGGAAGGUUAAUCCUCUCAGGGUGAGUCGACCCCUAAGGCGAGGCCGAAAGGCGUAGCUGAUGGGAAACGGGUUAAUAUUCCCGUACCACUUGAAUCGCGUUUGUAGCGAUGGGGUAACGUAGAAGGGUAGUCUAUCCGGGUGUUGGACGUCCCGGUUUAAGCAAGUAGGAGGGUGGUCUUGGCAAAUCCGGACCACUAUUAACUUCGAGAUGUGAUAAGGAGCUUCUCCUUCGGGACAAGCGAACUAGAUGAUCCCAUGCUACCGAGAAAAACCUCUAGUGAGUUAUUCAGGUGAUCGUACCCUAAACCGACACGGGUGGAUGAGUAGAGAAUACUAAGGCGCUUGAGAGAACUCUGGUUAAGGAACUCGGCAAAUUAGCUCCGUAACUUCGGGAUAAGGAGUGCCCUCAUUAGGUGAAAGAACUUGCUUCUGGAGCCGAAGGGGGUUGCAGUGACCAGGUAGCCGCGACUGUUUACUAAAAACACAGGACUCUGCUAAGUCGCAAGACGACGUAUAGGGUCUGACGCCUGCCCGGUGCCGGAAGGUUAAAAGGAGGGGUUAACCCUUGGGUGAAGCUCCGAAUUGAAGCCCCGGUAAACGGCGGCCGUAACUAUAACGGUCCUAAGGUAGCGAAAUUCCUUGUCGGGUAAGUUCCGACCUGCACGAAUGGCGUAACGAUGGCUACACUGUCUCAACCAGAGACUCAGUGAAA
rnacentral:rRNA from 1 species